rnacentral:sRNA from 1 species
UGCAAAGCCUGAUCCGACACCUUCUAGGAUCAAAACAAAAGAGAAAAAUCCUCCAUCUUCUUGUCUUACCCAUCCAAACCGGCUGUUAGCCCGGGUAGCACAGCAUCGCUGAGGGCUGAGCCCGUUUGCGAUUUUCUGGGCUUACCACACUUCUGUCAUGUAGGAAGUGAUUUUGACUAGUCGGGGCAGGUUCUCUAUUGUCCUGGACACGGUGGCAGUGAUUCACAGCUCAGGGAUUUGCAAUACUCUAUUGCUGCAUGUUCUUUCUUCCUUCUUCCUAAUGAUGCAUUCAAUUGAAGAAUUCAUCCUUGGGUAUUUGUGCUGACAUGGACAGAAAACAGAAGUCAAAACAUCGUAAUAGUUAACGAGAUUGUUCUGGUGAGACGCUUUGGACCAGCACAGCAGGAGGAGACACGUUAUGAAGUCUGGAUCAUUACAGUGAGCCUGAGUAUGAAUGGCUGAGUGUUACUACACACAUCCCACAGAUCAGUGGAUGAUAGUUAGACCACACAUCACGACUGGCAACAGAGUGUGAACAGGAGGGGAACAAUUUCUCAGAUGUGAUGGCUACCAUCUACAAGAGCAAAAAUAAGUCCCAUUUCCCACUCUAGGAAUCUACCUACUGGGCAGAGACAAAUUGGACUUGUAGGAACAAAUUGUUCAGUCUGUCCCCACCAGGUCCAAACACAAUAGCUUGUGGGUAAAAAGACAUGUUUCGUCUGGUUGAUGCUGGAAGGCUGCCUGGAGGAGGCUAGAUUUGAGGUGAGUGAAGGAUGGGCAAGACUUUUACAAGUGUUUGCAAGGACAAAGUGAUCUGGGUGGAACUUCAGAGAAAUACAGAUUCCUAGGUUUGACAUCAGCCUCCCAGGGAUGAGGCCCUGUGCAUGCAGCUGGGAUGUGAAACUGGAAUUAGGGGCCAGUCAGGAGGCUCAGGUCCGUUGAGAGACUAUGAACAGACAUUUGAGGGGACAUCUUGGAGCUGUGAUUGGGCGAGCUAGUUAUUUCUCAGCUAAUCAGAAGAAUUAAAUGAAGCGGGGGUUGGG